rnacentral:misc_RNA from 1 species
AAGUCGUAACAAGGUUUCCGUAGGUGAACCUGCGGAAGGAUCAUUAACACGUCCUAGCACGUUUUAACAAACUCCACACCACAUUCUGUGAACCAUUUUUUAUUAUUUUUUAAUAAAACCCCUUUUUUUGACUCUCCCCUCAACCCCUAGUUGACUGAUCAAAAAAACAAAAUGUGCAUCAUGUUUAUUCAUGUGUAUCAGGUUGUGAGAAUAAAUCGGGGUGUAUUCCUUGAUUUAUUUUUUAUAUGAAAAUUAUAAGCACAACUCUUAGCAAUGGAUAUCUUGGUUCUC